rnacentral:misc_RNA from 1 species
UCCGGUUUAUCACCGGCAGUCUCCUUAGAGUGCCCAACUUAAUGAUGGCAACUAAGAACAAGGGUUGCGCUCGUUGCGGGACUUAACCCAACAUCUCACGACACGAGCUGACGACAACCAUGCACCACCUGUCACCGUUGUCCCCGAAGGGAAAACUGUAUCUCUACAGUGGUCAAUGGGAUGUCAAGACCUGGUAAGGUUCUUCGCGUUGCUUCGAAUUAAACCACAUGCUCCACCGCUUGUGCGGGCCCCCGUCAAUUCCUUUGAGUUUCAGUCUUGCGACCGUACUCCCCAGGCGGAGUGCUUAAUGCGUUAGCUGCAGCACUGAGGGGCGGAAACCCCCCAACACUUAGCACUCAUCGUUUACGGCGUGGACUAC